GACGAACGCUGGCGGCGUGCUUAACACAUGCAAGUCGAACGGAAAGGCCCUGCUUGCCGGGUACUCGAGUGGCGAACGGGUGAGUAACACGUGGGUGAUCUGCCCUGCACUUCGGGAUAAGCCUGGGAAACUGGGUCUAAUACCGGAUAGGAGCCAUUUUUAGUGUGAUGGUUGGAAAGUUUUUUUCGGUGUAGGAUGAGCUCGCGGCCUAUCAGCUUGUUGGUGGGGUAAUGGCCUACCAAGGCGGCGACGGGUAGCCGGCCUGAGAGGGUGGACGGCCACAUUGGGACUGAGAUACGGCCCAGACUCCUACGGGAGGCAGCAGUGGGGAAUAUUGCACAAUGGGCGCAAGCCUGAUGCAGCGACGCCGCGUGGGGGAUGACGGCCUUCGGGUUGUAAACUCCUUUCGCUAGGGACGAAGCUUUUUGUGACGGUACCUAGAGAAGAAGCACCGGCUAACUACGUG
rnacentral:rRNA from 1 species